rnacentral:rRNA from 1 species
CCUACGGGAGGCUGCAGUGGGGAAUAUUGGACAAUGGGGGCAACCCUGAUCCAGCCAUGCCGCGUGUGUGAAGAAGGCCCUCGGGUUGUAAAGCACUUUCAGUGAGGAAGAACGCCUGGUGGUUAAUACCCAUCAGGAAAGACAUCACUCACAGAAGAAGCACCGGCUAACUCCGUGCCAGCAGCCGCGGUAAUACGGAGGGUGCGAGCGUUAAUCGGAAUUACUGGGCGUAAAGCGCGCGUAGGUGGCUUGAUAAGCCGGUUGUGAAAGCCCCGGGCUCAACCUGGGAACGGCAUCCGGAACUGUCAAGCUAGAGUGCAGGAGAGGAAGGUAGAAUUCCCGGUGUAGCGGUGAAAUGCGUAGAGAUCGGGAGGAAUACCAGUGGCGAAGGCGGCCUUCUGGACUGACACUGACACUGAGGUGCGAAAGCGUGGGUAGCAAACCGGAUUAGAUACCCUAGUAGUC